UACGGAGGGGGCUAGCGUUGUUCGGAAUUACUGGGCGUAAAGCGCACGUAGGCGGCUUUGUAAGUUAGAGGUGAAAGCCCGGGGCUCAACUCCGGAACUGCCUUUAAGACUGCAUCGCUUGAAUCAUGGAGAGGUCAGUGGAAUUCCGAGUGUAGAGGUGAAACUUCGUAGAUAUUCGGAAGAACACCAGUGGCGAAGGCGGCUGACUGGACAUGUAUUGACGCUGAGGUGCGAAAGCGUGGGGAGCAAACAGG
rnacentral:rRNA from 1 species